GACGAACGCUGGCGGCGCGCCUAACACAUGCAAGUCGAACGAGAGAUGAGGAGCUUGCUCUUCAAAUCGAGUGGCGAACGGGUGAGUAACGCGUGAGGAACCUGCCUCAAAGAGGGGGACAACAGUUGGAAACGACUGCUAAUACCGCAUAAGCCACGGCUCGGCAUCGAGCAGGGGGAAAAGGAGCAAUCCGCUUUGAGAUGGCCUCGCGUCCGAUUAGCUAGUUGGUGAGGUAAUGGCCCACCAAGGCGACGAUCGGUAGCCGGACUGAGAGGUUGAACGGCCACAUUGGGACUGAGACACGGCCCAGACUCCUACGGGAGGCAGCAGUGGGGAAUAUUGCACAAUGGGGGAAACCCUGAUGCAGCGACGCCGCGUGGAGGAAGAAGGUCUUCGGAUUGUAAACUCCUGUUGUUGAGGAAGAUAAUGACGGUACUCAACAAGGAAG
rnacentral:rRNA from 1 species